rnacentral:rRNA from 1 species
AACGAACGCUGGCGGCAGGCUUAACACAUGCAAGUCGAGCGAGACCUUCGGGUCUAGCGGCGGACGGGUGAGUAACGCGUGGGAACGUGCCCUUCUCUACGGAAUAGCCCCGGGAAACUGGGAGUAAUACCGUAUACGCCCUUUGGGGGAAAGAUUUAUCGGAGAAGGAUCGGCCCGCGUUGGAUUAGGUAGUUGGUGGGGUAAUGGCCCACCAAGCCGACGAUCCAUAGCUGGUUUGAGAGGAUGAUCAGCCACACUGGGACUGAGACACGGCCCAGACUCCUACGGGCGGCAGCAGUGGGGAAUCUUAGACAAUGGGGGCGACCCUGAUCUAGCCAUGCCGCGUGAGUGAUGAAGGCCUUAGGGUUGUAAAACCCUUUCAGCUGGGAAGAUAAUGACGGUACCAGCAGAAGAAGCCCCGCCUAACUCCGUG